GACGUCCUGACUAGUAUAUACAUUUAUACAGUGAAACUGCGAAUGGCUCAUUAAAUCAGUUAUCGUUUAUUUGAUAGUACCUUACUACUUGGAUAACCGUGGUAAUUCUAGAGCUAAUACAUGCUUAAAAUCCCGACUGUUUGGAAGGGAUGUAUUUAUUAGAUAAAAAAUCAAUGUCUUCGGACUCUUUGAUGAUUCAUAAUAACUUUUCGAAUCGCAUGGCCUUGUGCUGGCGAUGGUUCAUUCAAAUUUCUGCCCUAUCAACUUUCGAUGGUAGGAUAGUGGCCUACCAUGGUUUCAACGGGUAACGGGGAAUAAGGGUUCGAUUCCGGAGAGGGAGCCUGAGAAACGGCUACCACAUCCAAGGAAGGCAGCAGGCGCGCAAAUUACCCAAUCCCGACACGGGGAGGUAGUGACAAUAAAUAACGAUACAGGGCCCUUUCGGGUCUUGUAAUUGGAAUGAGUACAAUGUAAAUACCUUAACGAGGAACAAUUGGAGGGCAAGUCUGGUGCCAGCAGCCGCGGUAAUUCCAGCUCCAAAAGCGUAUAUUAAAGUUGUUGCAGUUAAAAAGCUCGUAGUUGAACCUUGGGCUUGGUUGGCCGGUCCAUCUUUCUGAUGCGUACUGGACCCAACCGAGCCUUUCCUUCUGGCUAGCCUUUUGGCGAACCAGGACUUUUACUUUGAAAAAAUUAGAGUGUUCAAAGCAGGCCUUUGCUCGAAUAUAUUAGCAUGGAAUAAUAGAAUAGGACGUUAUGGUUCUAUUUUGUUGGUUUCUAGGACCAUCGUAAUGAUUAAUAGGGACGGUCGGGGGUAUCAGUAUUCAGUUGUCAGAGGUGAAAUUCUUGGAUUUACUGAAGACUAACUACUGCGAAAGCAUUUACCAAGGACGUUUUCAUUAAUCAAGAACGAAAGUUAGGGGAUCGAAGAUGAUCAGAUACCGUCGUAGUCUUAACCAUAAACUAUGCCGACUAGGGAUCGGUUGUUGUUCUUUUAUUGACGCAAUCGGCACCUUUACA
rnacentral:rRNA from 1 species